rnacentral:rRNA from 1 species
ACGAUGUACACAUUUUUGAGUGCCUAUAU